CCUACGGGCGGCAGCAGUGAGGAAUAUUGGUCAAUGGGCGAGAGCCUGAACCAGCCAAGUCGCGUGAGGGAAGACGGUCCUAUGGAUUGUAAACCUCUUUUGCCGGGGAGCAAAAAGCGGUACGUGUACCGCAUCGAGAGUACCCGGAGAAAAAGCAUCGGCUAACUCCGUGCCAGCAGCCGCGGUAAUACGGAGGAUGCGAGCGUUAUCCGGAUUUAUUGGGUUUAAAGGGUGCGCAGGCGGCGAGUUAAGUCAGCGGUAAAAUUUCGGGGCUCAACCCCGCCAAGCCGUUGAAACUGGCUUGCUAGAGUGGGCGAGAAGUAUGCGGAAUGCGUGGUGUAGCGGUGAAAUGCAUAGAUAUAUGGAAGAACACCAGUGGCGAAAGCGGCUCUCUGGUCUGUAACUGACGCUGAGGUUCGAAAGCGUGGGUAGCAAACAGGAUUAGAUACCCCUGUAGUC
rnacentral:rRNA from 1 species